rnacentral:rRNA from 1 species
UACAGAGGGUGCGAGCGUUGUCCGGAAUCACUGGGCGUAAAGGGCGCGUAGGCGGCUCAUGAAGGCUGUGGUGAAAGUCCGGGGCUCAACCUCGGAUCGGCCGUGGCGACUCGUGGGCUGGAGCACUGUAGAGGCGGGUGGAAUUCCGGGUGUAGCGGUGGAAUGCGUAGAGAUCCGGAAGAACACCAGUGGCGAAGGCGGCCCGCUGGGACGUUACUGACGCUGAGACGCGAAAGCGUGGGGAGCAAACAGG